rnacentral:lncRNA from 1 species
UGUUACAUGGUAGGGUAUUUAUUCAGUACAUUUUUUCUUUUUCAAGUAAAGUAUAAGGGAGUUGUACUCCAGGCUAGUAGGUGGCGGUUAAGCAACAAAUUGGAUGCCAACCGCCGUUAAACCUCAGAAGAAGAAGAUUGUCGGACCAUCAACGGAAAAGGAAGAACGUCAUUAUACGGAAGAGGAAGGAAAGUGUGUUUGAAACUAAAAUCGCUAGUAACAACCAGCAUCAAACGUAACAUUGCUUGUCAAAUGGAUAUCAUUUCUCGUUAUGGUUUGUAGUUAUGCUGGCUUUGCUUCUGCUGUCUUUCUACAACAUCCGAAGGUGGGUUGUUCACACCAUCGCUUAGCUAGCUUCAGAAAGCUCAGCUACCUAGCUAGCUAAGUUAGCUAGUAAACACAAUGUAAGCUGGCUAGCAAAGAUACAUCCUGAAGUGAUAUAACGUUGUUAGCAAUACGAUGUGAAGUUAUAUGGUGUUAUUCUCAACUUGCUAUCAUCUUAGAUCAUCCAGAUGCAGGUUUACGUAGCUAACGUUAACCAGUUAACUGGGUCAGCAUGUCAUUACGUUAACUAGUUAACUGGGUCAGCAUGUCAUUACGUUAACAAGUAAUGUUGACAUUAUGGUCAACUGUGGCUCCCGAGUGGUGUAGCGGUCCGGGUUUGGCCCGUGUAGGCCGUUCAUUGUAAAUAAGAAUUAGUUCUUAACUGACUUGUCUAGUUAAACAAAGGUCACAAAAAAUGACAAUUUCCAGUGACACAGUAGCCAGCUAGCUCUGCAGACCCUGUUCUACUUCAGUAGCCAGCUAGCUCUGCAGACCCUGUUCUACUUCAGUAGUCAGCUAGCUCUGCAGACCCUGUUCUACUUCAGUAGCCAGCUAGCUCUGCAGACCCUGUUCUACUUCAGUAGCCAGCUAGCUCUGCACACCCUGUUCUACUUCAGUAGCCAGCUAGCUCUGCAGACCCUGUUCUACUUCAGUAGCCAGCUGGCUCUGCACACCCUGUUCUACUUCAGUAGCCAGCUAGCUCUGCAGACCCUGUUCUACUUAAGUAGCCAGCUAGCUCUGCAGACCCUGUUCUACUUCAGUAGCCAGCUAGCUCUGCAGACCCUGUUCUACUUCAGUAGCCAGCUAGCUCUGCAGACCCUGUCCUACUUCAGUAGCCAGCUAGCUCUGCAGACCCUGUUCUACUUCAGUAGCCAGCUAGCUCUGCAGACCCUGUUCUACUUCAGUAGCCAGCUAGCUCUGCCGACCCUGUUCUACUUCAGUAGCGAGUAUCAAGUGUAUGAGUGUGUCCUCAUUGCACGUCUGUUAUUUUAUGUCGCACCUCAAAUGAUGAGCUGGUGGACUGAGACCAGAUGGGGGGGUGUAAUAGGUGGUGACAUGACAGUGUGUUAUCAGAGGACUGAGACCAGAUGGGGGGUGUAAUAGGUGGUGACAUGACAGUGUGUUAUCAGAGGACUGAGACCAGAUGGGGGGUGUAAUAGGUGGUGACAUGACAGUGUGUUAUCAGAGGACUGAGACCAGAUGGGGGGUGAAAUAGGUGGUGACAUGACAGUGUGUUAUCAGAGGACUGAGACCAGAUGGGGGGUGUAAUAGGUGGUGACAUGACAGUGUGUUAUCAGAGGACUGAGACCAGAUGGGGGGUGUAAUAGGUGGUGACAUGACAGUGUGUUAUCAGAGGACUGAGACCAGAUGGGGGGGUGUAAUAGGUGGUGACAUGAGGGUGGGUAUAAUUUGUGUAACGUUACAACAAAAAAAAAAAACUUCGUAAAUAUCAAGGUUGCCAACAAACAACACAAACAAAGUCGUAUAACGGUAGAAUGAGAUACCGGGUAGAGAGUGAACAAUGUAAUAACGUUUUUCAACCACCACGUUUAUUCUGAAAAAUGUCUCUCUUCGUUCUGGUAGCCUCCACCAUUCCUCGUUCGUUGGUUUAGUUAUUAUUUCCGGGGUUCCUGCAUUCGUAAGGUGAACUCUGUUGCGCCUCAAUUAGGGAAUCGCUAUGGUUGAAAUGUAACUAAUCACUGCCAGCCCCAGUAUUUUAUUAGCUAGGUGGCUUGGACACAAUUGUUACCGAUGAUACUGUAUACACCAGCCUACUAUUAUUACAUAAACAUACAUUGUAUUUUACCAAGUUCUCUCUGUGUUAAUCCUGUUUCCCAAAUAUAUCAGCUAACUUGUGUCGAUGUUGUUUAGUUCAACUUGCCUAGUUAAAUAAAGAUUAAAUAAAUUAGAACAUAUAAAAUAUAUGCUUUGACCUAUUCCAGGUAACCUAAAGAUGCUUGAUUCACUACAGCUGCUUUUGAAGAACUUUCCAGUCGUAUUUGCUUUACAUUCCGACUUUACAUUCCGACUUUUGAACGUGUGUUUAUUGGACAUAUAUAUUAGUGUCUAAUAAAACAGAGCAUCCCAUCUGUUUUAAGGUUAUAGUUUGUGUGAUGUAGUUCCUCUUGAUGUCCACUAGGUGUCAGCACAGUUUCAAUAAUGUCACACCAGGUUACUACAUGUUUUCAUGUUGUGAAUGCUACAUGUGUAGACCUUACAGUGAAAUGUUGACUUACAAGCCCUUAACCAACAAUUUAGUUUUAAGAAAAAUAUGUGUUAAGUAAAAAAUAAGAAAUAAAAGUAACAAAUAAUUAAAGAGCAGCAGUAAAAUCAAAAUAGCGAGGCUCGAUACAUGGGGUACCGGUUAGUCGAGGUAAUUGAGGUGUUCCUUUCAAGUCCAGUGGUGUAAAUUACUUAACAAAAAUGUAUUUAAACUACUCCACUACAUUCCGUUUAUAUAUCUGGUUAUUUUGUAUCUGUACUUUUACUCUCCCUACUGCCUCUGAUCUGGAGGACUCACUAAACAGAGAACAUCCCUGGUCAUCCCUACUGCCUCUGAUCUGGAGGACUCACUAAACAGAGAACAUCCCUGGUCAUCCCUACUGCCUCUGAUCUGGAGGACUCACUAAACAGAGAACAUCCCUGGUCAUCCCUACUGCCUCUGAUCUGGAGGACUCACUAAACAGAGAACAUCCCUGGUCAUCCCUACUGCCUCUGAUCUGGAGGACUCACUAAACAGAGAACAUCCCUGGUCAUCCCUACUGCCUCUGAUCUGGAGGACUCACUAAACACAUGCUUCAUUUGUAAAUGAUGUCUGAUUGUUGGAGUGUUCCCCUGGUUAUUUCUUAAAUAAAAUAACAAGAGAAUCGUUCUGUCUGGUUUGCUUAAUGUAUGGAAGGUCAAAUCAUUUAUACUUUUACCACUGAUACUUAAGUAUAUUUUAGCAAUGACGUUUACUUAGUAUUUUACUGGGUGACUUUCACUUUUACUUGAGUCAUUUUCUAUUAACAUCAUCUUAUUAUUGUACCUUUUUCCCUUCAUUUGCCUCCUACUGUCUAUAAGCUGUCAUAACAUGUGGGUUUUUUCAUGGGGACCAGGUAUCGGAAAGCCUUUGAAGGAUCUACAAAGCCCCCAGGUAAAAGUUGGCUUUUGCAGACAAGGAUUGUAUUGUUUCUCCACGACAUAAUAUGUUAUCACAACUCUAUUAAAAUUACAUUCUACACAAGGUGUCACUUCAUUCCUUCUAUUUGAUGGGAACUCCUGGUUAGGAAUGGGGAACGAGUGCUAUCUCUCUGG